GGGCGUAUAGCUCAGCCGGUAGAGCAGCGGCCUUUUAAGCCGUUGGUCGCAGGUUCGAUUCCUGCUACGCCUACCA
rnacentral:tRNA from 1 species